GGGCUGUGUGACCUUGGACAAGUCUGAGCCUCAGCUGAUUCACAUGAGGAGUUGGAAGGAGUCCCUAAUACCCUCUCACUGGAUUUAUGAGUGCCUAAGAGGGGGUCCUGUUUAUAGUGUAUGGAGUUACAGCCUCCCAAGACUGGAAGCGACUGUGCUCAAGAAAAAUACAGACCGGACACUAGCUAACCUUACCUGCCUGCUCCACCUUCAAAGGGCAGAGAGCACCAACAGUGGGAGACUUCAGGCUGGACACUUUACUCAGAUGACUAGCAAAGAAGGCAUGGCCAGGACUGACUUACCCACAUCAACCAGGGAAAGGUGAUAUGACUUGCCCAAGCACCAAGCCUGUUGACUACAGAGACAAACUGAUGCUCCUACUAUCCUAACAUCAUUACCAGCUAUACUACCUGUGAUGUACUAGUUAUCUAUUGCUG
rnacentral:lncRNA from 1 species